rnacentral:rRNA from 1 species
AAACUUUCAACAACGGAUCUCUUGGUUCUGGCAUCGAUGAAGAACGCAGCGAAAUGCGAUAAGUAAUGUGAAUUGCAGAAUUCAGUGAAUCAUCGAAUCUUUGAACGCACAUUGCGCCCGCCAGUACUCUGGCGGGCAUGCCUGUUC